GUUCUCUAGUUUUUAUUGUCGUGUAUACCUGGGCUCGUUCCAGCUGGUGGAGUCUUUACCGCCGUGGGAAGAACACUAAGAAGCAAUGGUCCAUAUUUCCCGGAAAGUCUUGGAGCCUUAUAAGGGAAGCCUAGUUUGCUGGGCUUGCUGGGUUCCAUGUCACAUGGCAAAGCAUGGUGUGAAUCUUUGUCCAAAGAGUAGGCCACAACAACCACGUUUUCUUGAGGAAGCUCAAGCUCCAAAAGUGGUUCAUUGGCUGCAAGGUUCAGUGGCUUGUUCAAGGGCCUAGCUGAAGAAGAAGAUGGGAAAGAUACGAUGAGAGACAUGAAGAAGAAGACUAGUAUUGGUGUAAGAUAGCAGCAAGAUUUUGCCAUUUUGAGAGAGAUCUAGUAUGAACGCUUUGGUGGAAUUCUUUGAUGAAUUGGGA